rnacentral:rRNA from 1 species
AACACGGACCAAGGAGUCUAACGUGCGUGCGAGUCAGAGGGGCCACCGAACCCCCGAGGCGCAAUGAAGGUGAAAUUCACGUUCCCAGGCGGGAUCCCCGAUCCGGGUCUUCGGGGCGCACCGCCCGCCCGUCCAACGGUCGCCACGUCGACCGGACGGAGCGCGAGCACGCACGUUGGUACCCGAAAGAUGGUGAACUAUUCCUGGGCAGGACGAGGCCAGAGGAAACUCUGGUGGAAGUCCGUAGCGAUUCUGACGUGCAAAUCGAUCGUCGGACCCGGGUAUAGGGGCGAAAGACUAAUCGAACCAUCUAGUAGCUGG